rnacentral:lncRNA from 1 species
GUUCCUUCCUUUUCGUUCUCCAGCGACCCUAAUCACCGCCGCCGGGACUCGUUGUCGACGCGCCGCGGCCGUGACCUCGAAUUCGUCCACCCUGGGCGUGGAGCCUCGUCGUGGAGCUUCCCUUGGGCUUUCCGAAGGGGUUUGGGGCAUCUCCGUACGGGAUUGGCGUCUGGGGCGACGGGGAUUUCUCGCCGUCGUCAACCUCUCCGCCGCUACAUCACUGUCGCCGCGAGCGGAGAACUCCGAGCCAUUCUAGUCGGUACCACCCUCUCCCUGCAACUCGUUUCUUUCCCCGCAUCAUGUAGAGGUAGUUAGAUUGGGAUUUGGUGCAUCGGGGAGGGGAUUCGCGUUACGACGGUGGUGCUCCGCCGCGCUCUGUGUGCUGUGCUGUGUUGUGCUGUCGCGGGAUAGCUCGAGGGGGAGAAGAUGAGCGCUUGCCGUCCGAUCUGUCUGCGACGGCCAUGAUCACGUCCAGCAUGAGAUGCGACCGGGACUGAAUCGGGUCCCUUCGAUCACAAUCGGACGAACCAGAUCGGUCGAGAAGUAUUUAAAUCCGAACCGUAGAUCUCGGAAUUGACGGCUGGCGUUGUGUACCGAUUCAAUCUAAUCUCGCGCGUCUGAUUUGGAACCAACGGCUCAAAAUGCACGAUACCCCUUCGGCCCUGGAACCUUGCAUAAGAGCCCCUGGAAUAUUAUAGAAUCAACCCGCAGUCCAUGUGUUACUAUUCACUGAGUCUAGGAUUUUAUUCGCGCAGACCCCUGACCUUCUCAGUAAAUGACGCCCAGUCCAGAGCACAUUUAAAAUGUAUAAAUGAAUUAGUAAAGGUAUUAUUAAUACAAAAAUAAUUCCUAGAACUUAGUUAAUUCAUAGAAAAUUCAUUUUAGCUCCAAAUUGAGUCAUUCCAAUUCCUAAAAUUUGGUAAUAAUAUUCUCUAUCAUUUAGAAUCACUGUUUCGACAUGAACUCUGUUAGAAAAUUAAUUUAUCAUCUAAUCCUAUUAUAAUCACCUUAAAUCUUAGGAAAUUCAUAACUUAAAUUCUAUAACUCAAAAUUUAGUGAUUCCAGUUCCUAUGGUUUCAUUUUAAUGUGUAGAUUUUUACUGUAUAUUUCAUUCAUCUGUUUGGUGUGAUGUUGAUUUUGGCUAUACUAUGUAUGUAUUGUGUUGAUGCGAGUAGACGAGCAACCCACUGUGGAACCUGAGCUUCAACAAGUAGAAGUAGCUGAGCAGGAGCUCAUUGAAGGCAAGUUGUGCCCUUGAUCACUUACUUUCCCAGCCAUGUUCUUAUUAAUUUUAAUGAUCUGCAUAGGAUAAUUUUGAUGGGAGCCUUUAUGUUACCCCAGUUUUGAUUACCUCUAUACCUUGUUCACCCCUGAAAUAUUUUUGGGUAGUACUUGCUAUUGCUUUAUGUGGAUUGGGUAUGGAGAUACACUAUUCAUGAUUAUGCUGUUAUUAACUUGUUAUUAUUAUUGUUCAUGUUAAGAUCAUUAAAUUAAUGGGAACAUGGAGAACCACCCGGGAAAACAGUGCUACCACAAGGGUUUAAUGGGACGCCCUUGGCUGACUAAUUAGGAAAGCUAGUGGAAGACUACCUUACCCGAAAGGGGCAAGGGCAGUAGGGGAGAGGUCAGUGCGGGGAGGUCCCUGGUUGAUUUUGCUGCGAUGGCUGUCAGCCAGGAACCCUGUACUGGAUCUUCCUAUAAACUGUAGCGGGUUUUCGGAAGCUAGUGGAACUUUGUAAAGGCCUCGUAGUGGAUCCCUAGCCAUUCACCUCGGUAGUGUCUAAGGGCCUUGCAAACCCAGGCGACAUGGGAUACACGACUUGUGGGUAAAGAUGCGCAACCUCUGCAGAGUGUAAAACUAGUAUACUAGCCGUGCUCACGGUCAAGAGCGGCUCGGACACUCACAUGAUUAAUAUAUGGAACUUAAACUUAAUCUGUCAUUUCAUUGCAUUUGGGAUUAUUUUACUAUUACUGUUCUUUAUUAUUAAGGUUUGGUAUUUACUUACACUUAGUAAUUGCUAAUAAAAUUUUGACCAACUUAUAAAAGCAAUGCUCAGCCUCAACCUCUAUUUCAUUGAUCAGCCUUACACUACAUGAACUCCCACCUUUGGUGAGUUCAUGCCACAUUAUUCCCCACGACUUGUUGAGCUAUGAACGUAUGUGAGCUCACUCUUGCUGUCUCACACCCCCCCACAGGAGAAGAACAGGUGGUUCAGGAGGAGCCACAAGGCGAGGAGUAUGAUCCGAUCUAGGUGGCGUUUCUCAGUCGACAUUGGCGCCGACGAUCCUUAGUUCAUUUUAUACUUAUUGUUUUCUUUUGUAAUAAGUCUUCCGCUAUGUAAUAAAUAC